AAAAAAAAAAAAAGAAAAAAAGAAAAAAAAAUCCUGUCAUUUUCAGCACCAUGGCUGGAACCAGAAGUCGUUAUGUUUAGUGAAAUUAGCACAAAAAGUGAAAUGGGCACAAAAUUUAGUGAAAUGGGCACAAAAAGAUGACUAUUGCAGGUUCUCACUUAUAUAUGGGAGCUUAAAAAAACGUGGAUUUCAUGAAGAUAGAGAGUGAUUGGAGCUUACCAGAGGCCAGGAAGUGUAGAGGGAAGGGGGGAAAUGAAGAUUGAUUGAUUAAUGGGCACAAAUAUCAGUACAGUGACUACAGUUAAUAUUAAUCAAUUGUACAUUUCUAAAGAGCUAGGAGAGAACAAUUUGAAUGUUUCUAGAGUAAAGAAAAGACAAAUAUUUAAGGUGAUAAAUAAUUACCCAAAUUUGAUAUGAAUAUAUCAAAUUAUCACAUACACUGCAAAAACAUGUACAACUAUGUGUUAAUAAAAUAUAAAUCAAUUUAAAAAGAAAAAAUAUGUAUUUUGAUAAAAUGUGUAAUAUAUUUGGCAACUUUAAAUAGAGGGCUACACUGGUAAACCUGAAGGAAAGCAAAUUUACCAUGGAUUUUGUGACCUUUCCAUACCAUUUUGAUGGAUAAUUUGGGCCUUCUAAUCCAUAAGUUGAGAGAAGAACAUCAAUUACCUGUAGGCUCAUACAGAUCACUCACCUUGCCCAGGACGCUGCCUCCAAACAGGUAAGAAACAUAUAUCACAGAAGGGCAUGAUUACUGGCAUUAACAUCAGCCAAUGGCCAGGAACUUGAUCCAACAUAUCCUGGCUAUUCUCUUCCUACUCUAAUGAACACCUUCCUACUUAUUCAUCCUUCAAGGUUGAAAUCAAUGUCACCUUCUUUGGAAAGCUUUCCCAAGCCUAAUUAAUUACUUUCUCCUUUAUGCUUUUAAAGCACUUCUACCUAUAUCUGUAAAAUAACUUAAUCCAGUAGCUUUCCCCUUAUCUGUAGUUUCACUUUCCACAGUUUCAGUUACCUGUGGUCAGUCAUUGUUCAAAAAUAUUAAAUGAGGAAUUCCAGAAAUAAACAAUUCAUAAGUGUUAAGUGCUAUCUUAUGAUGCCUGUGACAUUCACCUCACUUCAUCUCAUUACAUCAGCAUUUUAUCUUCUCCAAUCAUCACAAGGAAAAGGGUGAGUACAGUACAAUAAAAUAUUUGGAGAGAGGCCACAUUCACAUAGUAUGCAGGAUUGUUAUAAUUAUUCUGUUUUAUUAUUAGUUACUGUUGGUUAUCUCUUACUCUGCCUAAUUUGUAAAUUAAACUUUAUCAUAGGUAUGUACAUAUAGGAAGAAAACAUAGUAUAUUUAGGGGUUGGUACUAUCUGCGGUUUCAGGCAUCCACUGGGGGUCUUGGAAUGUAUGCCCCAUUGAUAAGAAGGAACUGCUUUAUUUAUAUCUCUGCAUGAUCUCUAACUGCCUGAGACUCAGAGACAAAGUCUAGUUUUCUGUACAAGUCUACCUUCUAGCAUAGUUUUUGGCACUUGUGACUUUUCCCUUUCAUUAUAAUCAUAGUACUUCAUCUUAUGGUACACAUAUUCUCUCAUCUUUUAAAGUUUUUCUAAUUUUCAUUUCUGUGAAACCUGCAAAGAAGUGUAAAAGAUCACAUGAUCAAGGACACAGUGAAUAGACAGCCAGCUUCCCAUGCCUCUUGAAAUCUUUUAGAGAGAAGUGAGAAAUUUGGUAAGUCAGAGAAACCUAGAUUCCCAGUCGCAAGUCUUUUAUAGAAUUAGGCAGUAUGGGGAUCACUGCUCUCAGGUGCAGGCUAUUACUAUGUGAUCCUUGCUGUGUCUAAAUUCCAUCCUUCCAUAGUCAGUUUCCUAUUUCAUCUAGCUUACAGCAGGCCUACCAUCACUUACUAUAUUACAUAGGUUCUAGCAUGCAUACCAAAUACUUGUAUUUUGGCUUCAGUUUUCACUUCUUUCCAGUUGUCUAAUUUGAUGGUUCAGUAAUUUCUUACUCCUCUACACCUUAAACAAGUCACAGCAUGCCCUUCUAAUAUUCCCAUAGUGCAAUUCCUAUGCUUUACCCAACUCAUCAGCCUUUCUCCAAAGCUUUGUUGAAGCUUCACUUGGUCCUGGUUUAAAUAUGUAUUGCUGAAGCAGAAUGCUUUGACCCUACUAGGUACUCACACUCACUCAAAUACCCUUUGCUCCAAUAAAUAAAUAGGCCCAACUUUUUUGUCUCAAAUUCAUAACAAAUAUUCUGAUAGAAAUAACAAACAAGAAAAUAAAACUUACAAUGGCUGAAUUUUACCUGGAGAGGACAGUAAAGAAUCAUGACGUCUUUGUGAAAACAACAGUGGCCCAGGGAAAAUCAGAUCUUAGUAAAAGUAAUGAACACAAAAUAGAACUUACACCAACUAAAACAGUAACAAGGUGUCAUUUGUUGUGGAACACAAAUUGACAGAAGAAUCAAAGCUUGGUACUAUUUAGAUCAUGUACAGUGAAAUUUCAUAUAAUUAAUGGCCAAACGUACACAUUUAUAAUGGUAGAAUUGUAGUUGAUAAUUCUUGUCUAUAAUUGAUAAAACUUGAUAUGGGCAAAAAGUUUUCCAUGAAUCAAACCCCUAUUUAAUUUACAGAAAAAUGAUAGCAUUGGAGCAUUUUAGAAAGAUAAAAAUGAAGGUGAACAAAAAGUGAAAAUGGUUCAAGUGCAUUGAAUAGACAAUUCAUCUAGUAGUUAAAUUCAUUUAAUGAAAUUCACUCUGGAAUAUACCUUUUCCACAAAAAUUCAUCUAUGUCAGUAUACUUAUUGAAACACUUGUAAUUUUAAGCAUGGGGUCAAAACAUCUCCAUGUCAAAAUAGCUGGAUCAAAAUGCUGUUUGCCCAUUUCAUGCCAGAAGUUCCUCCAUUAUAACCACUGAUGCUUCCCUUAGAAGUCUGUAUGUAAAUGAUUUGGGACUUCACUGGGCCAUAUGUCACCAUUAAUAACAGAAAGUGUUUGUGGGUUUGCUUUUCUUCUUUAGAAAAUGAAGAGAUUGUUUUUAUGGAUAAUGGUAUUUAGGGAUUUUUUUUUCUAUUGUUUAAAUUAAUAGUCAAUAUAUUUUAAAGGAUUAGGUGUUGGGGAGGAAAUAACAGGAAAAUUAAGUUUACUCUGCCAAACAGGCAUUAUCCCUGAGAAGUAGUUCCUUCUUAUUCUGCACUAUAAAUCCUUUUAUCACCAUGUAUAUUUCUACAGGGGCUACUGCUAUCUUGCUUUGGUAGUUACAGUAAAUCAAGAUAAAGACACCAGUCUGCUUGGACUUGUGGAGAGGUAGCAAACAGUCCACAGACAGUUUGCUCAUUUCGGAAGAAAGCUCCUGACUGAGGUUCUUUAGAUGCGUUUAACGGAGGGACAGCUGUGCAGAAGCAUCACUGUCUCACUCUUUUCCAGACUGAUCAAAUGAAGCGUCUGUCAUGUCACACAUAUGGAGUUCUCUACCAACAGCAAAGGCUAUUUAGUCAAGUUCUACAGAUCAAAAGUCUAACACUGGUGUUAUUGGGCUGAAAUCCAGGCGAUGGCAGAGCUGCGCUCCUUUCUGGAGGCUCCGGGGAGAAUUCUCUUCCUUAACCUUUCAAGCUUCUCGAGGCCCUCUGCACUCCCUGGAGACAGGAGGAGAGAAGAAUCAUGGACUCCCUGGGCACAGCACCGCAGGUGGCUUUGCCAGUUCUCCCAGCCCCGCGCUGCUCCUGCGCCUGCGCUGAGCCUCCACGUGUCCUCAGGAGACUUAGCCUAGCCUGGGUAUCACCAGCAGUGGGCCAGGCCGCUUUGCCUUCAACUCCCAACAGUAACCUUGCAGAGGUCAGCCUGGGGCCACCAGGAGGAGUUAGUAAGAGCUUAUCCUGUGGGGGCACUCACUGGGGCUGGUGGCCGGGAAAUCCCAGGUGUUUUGUUGGUUUGAGUUUUGU
rnacentral:lncRNA from 1 species